GCCCUGAUAGUGUAGUCCGGUCUAUCAUGUUGCCCUGUCGAGGCAACGACCCGGGUUCGAAUCCCGGUUAGGGCG
rnacentral:tRNA from 1 species